rnacentral:tRNA from 1 species
UUGNGCCNUGGUAUGGAAAAUCCGUCGACUUUAUAAAUCGUGAGGGUUCAAGUCCCUCUAUCCCC